rnacentral:tRNA from 2 species
GUUAAUGUAGCAUAAGAAAUGUAUUUGUUUUAAGAGCAAAAGAUAAUAAAGUUAACU